UUCAAACUUAAUCAACGGAAUGCAACGAUGAAAAUUUUAGGUUUAUUUACUUUUCUUCUUGGUCUCUCGUCACUUGCACGCAACCUUUUGAACUCUCAAACCAUUCAACCUUCUUCUUCUUCUUCUUCUUCCGCCUCCGUGCACGGUGGUCGAAUCUCUAAACCCUAAUCUCUUACCACCUCGAUCUCUUCUUUUGGGGACUUUAUUCUCUGGUCUUUCAUGUCUCGUGGAAGGACUUGAGAGUUCUCCUCCCUUCGUGGGGUGGGAUCUGCGGUUGAGGAUCUCGGAGCAGUGGAGUCAUGGGAGGGUCGCCGAAGCCAUGAGUACCUUCUUCAUCUCAUUCCAAAUCCUUGGACCAUUCUGUUGCCGAGGCUGCUUCUGCCUAUUAACAUUAUCCACUUCGUUUCCUUCCCUUUCUGCUUUGGGUUCUUCUGCUCUCUAUAGGGUUUCCGAGAAUGCUAUAAUUCGUGAGGCUUUGCACAACCUUCGGGAGCAUCUAUCGAGCUGCUAUUCAUGACCUUCUCGAAGGGUGGACUUGGGCUUUCCAAAAUGACGUCGAAGAGAUUUUCAGAUUACGCCCGCUUGCCGCUCUUGUUCUCGCCCUCGCUUACGAUGCCGGUGAAUUCUACGGUCCUUGUGAUCCAGGUCAUGCGGCUUUCUUAAUUCUUGUGAUCCAGGUGAGGGAAGUUUGUGUCUGUAUGGACAUCCUAAUGAAACAUGGGAAGUGGUUCAAGAGCCUGCACUUGGAAUUAAUUUUGCAAGAGAUGGCAUGAACAGAAAAGGAUUGGCUAUCUCUUGUUGCUGUACAUAGUGAUUCCUGGUUGCUCUACGUGGCUUUCUAUUUUAGAGCAAGGCUUGACUGAAACAAAAGAGGGACUGCAAGCAAAUAUGACCAGAGAAACGAGAACUAGAGAAAUUGGAAGAAGGGUGGUUGAAAACAAAAGUAAACCACUAGAACCAAACAAAGUGAUAUCUCCUCUUCCACCAACAUUGGUGACAAGAAUCGACCUAAUUCUUAUGUUUUAUCUUUAUUACAUUUGGUGAACAUUUGCACCAUAAUAACUAAUAUAUGUAGAGUUGUACUAUAUGUGUGUGUGUGCAUGCACAUGUACGAAAUUUUUAGUAUGUUUGGGUCGAAUAGUACUAUUAGGGGGUGAGAGAUUUUGAGAUAUCUAUUUGAAUUUUUAACGUUUUCUUUCCUCCGAAUAGGAUGAAGAAAAAAAUGUAAAAUUUUUUUAAAUUAUUAAGUGGAGCUAGCCGAUCAAAAGAGAUUCAAUUGGACACAAA